CGGAGUUAGCCGGGGUUUCGUUUACCAGGUACUGUCAUUAUCAUCCCUGGCGAAAGAGCUUUACGACCCUAGGGCCUUCAUCACUCACGCGGCAUGGCUAGAUCAGGCUUUCGCCCAUUGUCUAAGAUUCCCC
rnacentral:rRNA from 1 species